rnacentral:lncRNA from 7 species
AAUGAGAAGCCGGCAGGAAGGGGAGACAGCUGUGCCACGUGUCACCUGGAGUCAGCCCCAUCCAAGAGAAGAGCUGCUUGACAAAGGAAGACAUAGAAAGGAAGGGAGCAAAAUGAGAUCUCAACUAUUUUCUGCCACUUGAGUGCUUGACGCCCCAGCUUGCAAACAGAUAAGCUGGUUUAUGAACAAUACAGCAUCACUUUCAUUGCAAUUGACUAUUCAGAAGACUAGAGGAAGUAAUUAUCAUUGUUUACAUCAGCCACUGCCUUGCAACUGUUGUGUUAAGAGAGCAUGUCCUAGGAUAUUCAGUGUUUUGUAACUGUUUUUUUUCCUUCUAAAAUAUCUAAUCUUCAUGUCUUCUGUUUCUUGUGGUGUGAUGAAGUCUAGCAUGUAGUCAGACAAAAUCUUAAAGCUAGAAAAUAGCUUUGGUAGAGCUGAGAGUUUGAUGAGAAACUGGAAAGAUCUAUUGUUGUCUUUAGUCGUAUUUGUAUUGCAAUGAAUAGACAUGGAUUUAUUAUUUUCUCAUGCAAAACGCCACAGCAUAUUUUGAAUUACUAAGUUAUCUAACACUAUAACACUAUCUUGGACAAGGAUAGCAAAGGAAUCAUGGGGUAUGAAUGUUGGUUUAUAAGGGAAGACUAGAGAACACUGAUAGAAUGUUCUUAUAACAGAAGAAGCAGUUUUUCUGGACAAGUUAAAAAAAAGGUCAUAAAAUUGGUUUUUCCACCCAUGGUGCAUGAGCAUUUUCUUCAUUUGUCGAAACAUUGAACAGCACUUAAUUCUGAUUUUGUAAUGUAUAAAGGAUAACUUGGGGAAAAUCUCUGGAAAAAGAAAUCACAUGUCUCAGAUUGCAUGCUAUACUUUUGCUUGGAAGAUUAAGAAUUGCAAAUUAAGUCAGAUUCUCAAGGGUAAUAUGUUCUACCUUUCAUCCUGGGGCAAGAUGAGAUCAUUUUAAAUCCAAGAGCUGUGUCACAGCUCGUAUACUCUGUACCAAUUUAAGGAUGAGCAGAAGUGUAAGUCAUGGCCCGCCUUUCAACAUAAAAUAUGUACAUUGUUUGCCAUGAUUGCACCAUAAAAGAGCAUGCUGUU